UUGCUAUCUGCGAUAUGGAAGAUUCGAACCUGCCGCAGGUUCGGGUCUCACGUAGUGAGACAACGGAGCCGCUUGCGGCGACGGCCCGAAGGGCGAGGCGAAGCCGAGUCAUCCUGCACGACCCACCA
rnacentral:sRNA from 1 species